rnacentral:rRNA from 1 species
AGUGAACGCUGGCGGUAGGCCUAACACAUGCAAGUCGAACGGCAGCACAGUAAGAGCUUGCUCUUACGGGUGGCGAGUGGCGGACGGGUGAGGAAUACAUCGGAAUCUACUUUUUCGUGGGGGAUAACGUAGGGAAACUUACGCUAAUACCGCAUACGACCUACGGGUGAAAGCAGGGGAUCUUCGGACCUUGCGCGAUUGAAUGAGCCGAUGUCGGAUUAGCUAGUUGGCGGGGUAAAGGCCCACAAAGGCGACGAUCCGUAGCUGGUCUGAGAGGAUGAUCAGCCACACUUGAACUGAGACACGGUCCAGACUCCUACGGGAGGCAGCAGUGGGGAAUAUUGGACAAUGGGCGCAAGCCUGAUCCAGCCAUACCGCGUGGGUGAAGAAGGCCUUCGGGUUGUAAAGCCCUUUUGUUGGGAAAGAAAAGCAGCAGGUUAAUACCCCGCUGUUCUGACGGUACCCAAAGAAUAAGCACCGGCUAACUUCGUG